rnacentral:rRNA from 2 species
GGGGGUGCUAUACAUGCAGUCGAGCGGACUGAUUAGAAGCUUGCUUCUAUGACGUUAGCGGCGGACGGGGGAGUAACACGUGGGCAACCUGGCUGUAAGACUGGGAUAACUUCGGGAAACCGAAGCUAAUACCGGAUAGGAUCUUCUCCUUCAUGGGAGAUGAUUGAAAGAUGGUUUCGGCUAUCACUUACAGAUGGGCCCGCGGUGCAUUAGCUAGUUGGUGAGGUAACGGCUCACCAAGGCAACGAUGCAUAGCCGACCUGAGAGGGUGAUCGGCCACACUGGGACUGAGACACGGCCCAGACUCCUACGGGAGGCAGCAGUAGGGAAUCUUCCGCAAUGGACGAAAGUCUGACGGAGCAACGCCGCGUGAGUGAUGAAGGCUUUCGGGUCGUAAAACUCUGUUGUUAGGGAAGAACAAGUACGAGAGUAACUGCUCGUACCUUGACGGUACCUAACCAGAAAGCCACGGCUAACUACGUGCCAGCAGCCGCGGUAAUACGUAGGUGGCAAGCGUUAUCCGGAAUUAUUGGGCGUAAAGCGCGCGCAGGCGGUUUCUUAAGUCUGAUGUGAAAGCCCACGGCUCAACCGUGGAGGGUCAUUGGAAACUGGGGAACUUGAGUGCAGAAGAGAAAAGCGGAAUUCCACGUGUAGCGGUGAAAUGCGUAGAGAUGUGGAGGAACACCAGUGGCGAAGGCGGCUUUUUGGUCUGUAACUGACGC